UACGGGGGGGGCAAGCGUUGUUCGGAAUUACUGGGCGUAAAGGGCUCGUAGGUGGCCAACUAAGUCAGACGUGAAAUCCCUCGGCUUAACUGGGGAACUGCGUCUGAUACUGGAUGGCUCGAGUGUGGGAGAGGAAUGCGGAAUUCCAGGUGUAGCGGUGAAAUGCGUAGAUAUCUGGAGGAACACCGGUGGCGAAGGCGGCAUCCUGGACCGGCAUUGACGCUGAGGCGCGAAAGCCAGGGGAGCAAACGGG
rnacentral:rRNA from 1 species